UUGUGUCAGCCUAUACGUCUUGUAUAAAUAAUCAUGUUUAUUAGUUUAAAAAAAUUAAUAAAAAUCAAAAAUAUCUCAUAGCUAUAAAUAGCGUGACUUUCCGGUGAACUUUUUCUCUUUAAUAGGUACUAUAUUUUAGUGAUGAGCAAAAAAAAGAUUAUUAACUCACCCUCCCUCUUGGGUAAUUUCUGGAUACGCCACUGUUCAGGAGUGUCGCCAGUAGGCGGCUUCUCCUCCAUACCUUCUGGCAGUAACCUUCAUGUUAUUAUUUAAGCUUGUUAUACAAAACGUUUAUUGCUUGUUAAUUCAAAUAAAGUACAAAAAAAAAGUAUUUUAGUUCAAAAAUCCAAUUAAAAUUAAACUUUAACUAUUUAAACUAGCUAUCGAAUACAUAGUUUAUCAAUAUUCUUAAAUAAUUUAUUUUAUACAUUUUUUUAGGUUUAUUAACGACAUCAUUGCGUUUGACCGAAAACAGUUAAUGCUACUACGACCAACGCUAUUGGUUCAUCCACGUUCAUCCAACAAUUGCAUAACUUGGAAUAGAAUUUUGAUCGUAUUAUUCAUAUAUACUAUUAUUUAUCACAUCACUAGGUGGUAUAUUAUGCCACCAAUAACUAAUGAUUUCCCUACAAUCGCAUUUUAUUUGUUUAUGGAUCCAAAUAUGUUAGACAUGGUCAUUGUGAACGGAGGGUGUAUUUUUAUCCAUAGUGUCGCAUCUAGGUUUUGUGCUUUGAACGAUGGUUGGAAACGUUUGGCAGUUGGAUUGUUGGCCACGAAUGACGACGAAUGGACACAAUCCGAAAUAACAAUGUCAAUUGAGAGUAUACGACUGUUGCAUGCUGAUCUUUGUGAAAUAAUAAACGUUUUUAGUUUGGGUUACGGUAUGGUUCUGUUAGGGUAUUUCACAUUAAGUUUCAUAAGUUUAUUGAUGUUUACUUAUUUGUACUUUGCCAUUGGAUAUCCGAUAUCCGACACGUCAUUUACAGCAAUCAUUGUUUGGUGUUUACCACUGUUUAUUAGGUAUUCCCAAUUUGGCAUCUUCCAUAUCAGCAUACUCGUAAAUUCGUCAUUCGCAAACGAAAAGAUAAGCUUUUAUAUUCAAUGAUAGUUAUAUGGCAAUAGUGGCCUAUACACCGGUCCAUGAGAGUCCGACCGAUCUGCGCAUCGGCACGUUGCUUGAAUGGCACCAUGAUGGGAGAAAACAGACGUCGUGUAUUGCUAACUCGUAUGGAUGUACGGUUUACGGAUGGACUCUCGUCGGUCGGAGUAUAGUCAUAUUAUUAUGUAUUUUAUUUUUACAUUUUUAAUACAUGUCUUCACUGUAAUUUUGUUAAACUAUUAUUAUUUCAUUUUUUACCUGUUUACAGAAAAGAGAAAUAAUAUCGUAUUUACGGUCUUGCCGGAUUUCAAAUUUACCAACUCAUACAAAAUUACAAAUUAAAAUGUUUAUGAAUCAAAUGCCUGAGUUUGAGUCCAACGAAAUGUCAGCGUAUGGUAUUUUCAACAUCAAUUUAAAUCUCGUUUUAAAAAAUUUAAUAUUGCUGUUUGCUGGAAUUCUUACACUCAUACAGAUGAAGGAUCACCCAUCCAUAACUCGUUUGUCAAAAGUCGUCAUGGCAAACGUCAAAAUGGAAUAUUUAAAAAAUUAUACUCACUCAUAGAUGAUAUUUCAUUAUUUAAUUAAUAUACAAAUGUUAUCUCUACAUUAACAAUUUGGAUGGAAACAACAAGGAUUUAAAUGUAAUGCACUAAAAACCUAAUCACUAUGCUUACAAAAUGUUACCACCAAAACCAUAAAAUUAUGCAAUCUCAUAGAAUUAAGAAUUAUGUUUUGUGAACAUUCACUAAAAUCUUAUGAACAAUAAUAAUUAAUAACAUUUAAUGUAUUCUUGAAAUAAGUUAGUUAAAAGUAAUUUUAUUAGCUUAACUAACUCGUCUCUUCAUUUAUUUAAACUGAUACUGUGGUUGUACACAAAAA